rnacentral:rRNA from 1 species
GACGAACGCUGGCGGCGUGCUUAACACAUGCAAGUCGAACGGAAAGGCCCUGCUUUUGUGGGGUGCUCGAGUGGCGAACGGGUGAGUAACACGUGAGUAACCUGCCCUUGACUUUGGGAUAACUUCAGGAAACUGGGGCUAAUACCGGAUAGGAGCUCCUGCUGCAUGGUGGGGGUUGGAAAGUUUCGGCGGUUGGGGAUGGACUCGCGGGUUAUCAGCUUGUUGGUGGGGUAGUGGCUUACCAAGGCUUUGACGGGUAGCCGGCCUGAGAGGGUGACCGGGCACAUUGGGACUGAGAUACGGCGCAGACGGGUAUGGGAGGCAGCAGUGGGGAGUAUUGCACAAUGGGCGGGAGCCAGAUGCGGCAACGCUGCGAUCGGGAUGACGUCCUUCGAGUGGUAAACCGCUUUCGCAGGUGAUGAAGCGUGAGUGACGGUAACGGGUAAGAAAGCAACGGCUAACUACGUG